GCAUAUCAAUAAGCGGAGGAAAAGAAACCAACCGGGAUUGCCUCAGUAACGGCGAGUGAAGCGGCAAAAGCUCAAAUUUGAAAUCUGGCCCCUCCGGGGUCCGAGUUGUAAUUUGUAGAGGAUGCUUCGGGUGCGGCCCCCGUCUAAGUGCUCUGGAAUGGGCCAUCGGAGAGGGUGAGAAUCCCGUCUGGGGCGGGGUGUCCGCGUCCGUGUGAAGCUCCUUCGACGAGUCGAGUUGUUUGGGAAUGCAGCUCUAAAUGGGUGGUAAAUUUCAUCUAAAGCUAAAUAUUGGCCGGAGACCGAUAGCGCACAAGUAGAGUGAUCGAAAGAUGAAAAGCACUUUGAAAAGAGAGUUAAAAAGCACGUGAAAUUGUUGAAAGGGAAGCACUUGCGACCAGACUCGCCCACGGGGUUCAGCCGGCUUUCGGGCCGGUGUACUUCCCCGGGGGCGGGCCAGCGUCGGUUUGGGCGGCCGGUUAAAGGCCCCUGGAAUGUAACACCUCUCGGGGUGUCUUAUAGCCAGGGGUGCCAUGCGGCCAGCCCGGACCGAGGAACGCGCUUCGGCACGGACGCUGGCAUAAUGGUCGUAAAUGACCCGUCUUGAAACACGGACCAAGGAGUCUAACAUCUACGCGAGUGUUCGGGUGGCAAACCCGUACGCGGAGUGAAAGCGAACGGAGGUGGGAGCCUCUUGAGGGGCGCACCAUCGACCGAUCCUGAUGUCUUCGGAUGGAUUUGAGUAUGAGCGUAGCUGUGGGGACCCGAAAGAUGGUGAACUAUGCCUGAAUAGGGUGAAGCCAGAGGAAACUCUGGUGGAGGCUCGCAGCGGUUCUGACGUGCAAAUCGAUCGUCAAAUUUGGGUAUAGGGGCGAAAGACUAAUCGAACCAUCUGGUAGCUGGUUCCUGCCGAG
rnacentral:rRNA from 1 species